rnacentral:rRNA from 1 species
GAUGAACGCUGGCGGCGUGCCUAAUACAUGCAAGUCGAGCGAACGGACGAGAAGCUUGCUUCUCUGAUGUUAGCGGCGGACGGGUGAGUAACACGUGGAUAACCUACCUAUAAGACUGGGAUAACUUCGGGAAACCGGAGCUAAUACCGGAUAAUAUUUUGAACCGCAUGGUUCAAAAGUGAAAGACGGUCUUGCUGUCACUUAUAGAUGGAUCCGCGCUGCAUUAGCUAGUUGGUAAGGUAACGGCUUACCAAGGCAACGAUGCAUAGCCGACCUGAGAGGGUGGUCGGCCACACUGGAACUGAGACACGGUCCAGACUCCUACGGGAGGCAGCAGUAGGGAAUCUUCCGCAAUGGGCGAAAGCCUGACGGAGCAACGCCGCGUGAGUGAUGAAGGUCUUCGGAUCGUAAAACUCUGUUAUUAGUGAAGAACAUAUGUGUAAGUAACUGUGCACAUCUUGACGGUACCUAAUCAGAAAGCCACGGCUAACUACGUG